UUCCAUUGUAUAUAUGUGCCACAUCUUCUUUAUCCACUCAUCUGUCACUGGACACUUAGCAGAAACCCAUUUUAAAUGCUUCAGUAAAUGACCCUGCCACGCAUCCAAUACGUCCGCUAGGAAACCAAAACCUACCCAUGAUAAUGUCUUCAUUUGAUCUGAGGCGAUUUAAUUCCUGGAAAUUCUUUCCUUAAUUUCCUAGAUUUGACUAUUAAUCAUAGAAGGCAUGCAAUGAAUGACGCAACACAAAUGAAUCAGCAGAAUGAUACUGAAAGUUCAGUGUCUUCGGGGGAAAAAAGUCAUCUGAAGACAAGCACGUUACAACACGGGAUUCAAGAAAGUGGGGAAAAUGUAAUAAAUGUUGCCUCGAAAUUAAGACAGAGCUGUACACACAGAAUUAUCAUUCUUUUAAGUAGAUGGCGCAAUUCGGAUAAAAAGAAGGCUCUGAGGUGGCUUCAGACAGAAAGUGACUGUGAACGUGAGAGCGCUGAGAACAAACAGUAAACGACUGAAAUGCCUGAUAUAGGAUUCUUGGGAGUUUCUUGCACUAGCCUAAAUGUACGAAUCCACAGACCUCUAGCUUCUGGUGUUGCAGUCUGUGGAGCUCUUCCAUCGAGUGGGGACAGAAAACCCAAAGAUGAAAUACAGUGUCAGAUGACAAGGCAAGCUGCAUGUGGUGGGAGAUGCAUUCCUGUGGCCUGACUCUGCAGUGGAGAGCAGGAGUGCCCGGAUGGGGCGGACGAGCAGUGUGGGUCUUUUCGGGGAGCAGCUGGAAUCCAUGCAUCACCAUUACCCUGUUGUGCCCUCGAGGAAGCAAACUGAAUAGGGAGAUGAGAGGAGCGGGGGCUAAAGACUAGUGACGACAGUUAUACUCCGAGACUCAA